rnacentral:tRNA from 1 species
AGCUACGUAGCUUAACUGGAAAAGCACAACACUCAUAAUGUUGAAGUUACAGGUUCAAAUCCAGUCGUAGCUA